rnacentral:rRNA from 1 species
UACGUAGGGGGCGAGCGAUGUCCGGAUUUAUUGGGCGUAAAGAGCGUGUAGGCGGCCAGGUAGGUCUGCUGUGAAAACUCAAGGCUCAACCUCGAGACGUCGGCGGAAACCAUCUGGCUAGAGUCCGGAAGAGGAGAGUGGAAUUCCUGGUGUAGCGGUGAAAUGCGCAGAUAUCAGGAAGAACACCCGUGGCGAAGGCGGCUCUCUGGGACGGUACUGACGCUGAGACGCGAAAGCGUGGGGAGCGAACAGG